CCUACGGGAGGCAGCAGUGAGGAAUAUUGGUCAAUGGACGUGAGUCUGAACCAGCCAAGUAGCGUGAAGGAUGACUGCCCUAUGGGUUGUAAACUUCUUUUAUAUGGGAAUAAAAUGUUCCACGUGUGGGUUUUUGUAUGUACCAUAUGAAUAAGGAUCGGCUAAGUCCGUGCCAGCAGCCGCGGUAAUACGGAGGAUCCGAGCGUUAUCCGGAUUUAUUGGGUUUAAAGGGAGCGUAGGUGGGUGGUUAAGUCUGUUGUGAAAGUUUGCGGCUCAACCGUAAAAGUGCAGUUGAAACUGGCAGUCUUGAGUACAGUAGAGGUGGGCGGAAUUCGUGGUGUAGCGGUGAAAUGCUUAGAUAUCACGAAGAACUCCGAUUGCGAAGGCAGCUCGCUGGACUGCAACUGACACUGAGGCUCGAAAGUGUGGGUAUCAAACAGGAUUAGAUAUCCCAGUAGUC
rnacentral:rRNA from 1 species